CUACUGUCUUGUAAUUGGAAUGAUGGUGACUUAAACCCUCACCAGAGUACCAAUUGGAGGGCAAGUCUGGUGCCAGCAGCCGCGGUAAUUCCAGCUCCAAUAGCGUAUAUUAAACUUGUUGCAGUUAAAAAGCUCGUAGUUGAAUUUCAGCGUUUCGCGUGUGCCUCUUUUGGCCCAUCUCGUCUCGCUUUUUUUAUUACUUUGAGAAAAUUAGAGUGUUUCAAGCAGGCUUUUGUCUUGAAUACUUGAGCAUGGAAUAAUAGAGUAGGACCUUGGUUCUAUUUUGUUGGUUUUGUUACCUUGGUAAUGGUUAAUAGGAACGGUUGGGGGCAUUCGUAUUUAACUGUCAGAGGUGAAAUUCUUAGA
rnacentral:rRNA from 1 species